GCGAGGGCCGAGACGCACGCACACAGCUGCACAUCCUAUUGCUGCUGUCGCGGCGGCAUCGUUCCCCGUGAUCUGACUUAUCUUCCCACGCAAGGAAAAACAAGACAGGGUAAAAGAAGGAAAAACUGUCAGUCGCAGCUGGACUACCUGCUGUGCGACUCAGGAAGAUGACAGCGCAGGCCUUUCCUUCCCAGGAGCUGAAGAGAAGGAGACAGGAGGAGACAACAAUGAAGACAAAGUGCUCUGUGGUCUGGGACUUCCUCAGACAUGACCCCCGUGGCAUUUUGCCGACUGUAUUUAAACCAACUACUGCUGCAAAACUCUACCGGCGUCCGAAAAUAGACUAAACAUCCACCAUCCUGGAGCCGUAUUGGGAGAAACAGAAUAGAAGGAGCAACCUAUAAAAGAAAGAAAAAAAAUGG